rnacentral:lncRNA from 1 species
CUUUUCGAGGUCGACCGCGUGGCUGGAAGACAUGGCCACUCCCGUCGGUGUUGAGCACGGCGAGCAGUCUCAGGCCUUUAGUGAUGAUGAGGCCUUUCUUUGUUUGGCAUCUGCAGAGACGGUGAAAAGCAGAGCUCCAGGUUGAAGGAUCAGAGUAAUAGAUGGAGCCCUUAACAUGAGUAAGAGUGGGUGCAGGCAGGGCCUGAGUGGUCACUAGAAAUGAGAAAGCACAGUUGGUGCCAUCACAUACCUUCACCUCCUGCUUUAUUCUGAAGUUCAAGUAUGAGAAUACGUGUUGACAUACAAGCCAGCUAUGAUUAAAGGUGUUGGCUGUGGCCUUGAAAACAGUCAUGUGAAAACUCAUCACCUUAAGGUGUUAAGUGUAAGGAUCUUCAUGAUGAAAUUUCUGUAAAUGGUGCAGUCAGCCUCAGUUUCCAAAGCCAGAAAAGGAUCCUCUAGAAGCCACGGUGUGGCAGCUGCUCUGAACCAGGACCUGGACCCGGACCCAAAGUGCCAUGUCUUCAAUGUUAGCUCCCAGCGAUGCCAGAUGGGAUCAGCACAGCCCUGC